rnacentral:rRNA from 1 species
CCCUUAGAUGUUCUGGGCCGCACGCGUGCUACACUGAGUGGAUCAGCGGGUCAGGUUGCGCGAAAGUGUUUCCUAAUCUUUAAAUCCGCUCGUGAUGGGGAUUGACGGUUGCAAUUUUCCGUCAUGAACGAGGAAUACCUUGUAAGCGCGGGUCAUCAUCCCGCGCUGAAUACGUCCCUGCCCUUUGUACACACCGCCCGUCGCUCCUACCGAUUGAGUGGUCCGGUGAGGCUUUGGGAUCUGAGCGGAAAGAGCGUUUCGCUGUUUCUGCCCGGAAAACUCAGUCGAACCUUAUCAUUUAGAGGAAGGUGAAGUCGUAACA